UACGAAGGGGGCUAGCGUUGUUCGGAAUCACUGGGCGUAACGGGCGCGUAGGCGGCUUUAUAAGUCGGGGGUGAAAGCCUGUGGCUCAACCACAGAAUUGCCUUCGAUACUGUAGAGCUUGAGACCGGAAGAGGUAAGUGGAACUGCGAGUGUAGAGGUGAAAUUCGUAGAUAUUGGGAAGAACACCGGUGGCGAAGGCGGCUAUCUGGCCCGUAAUUGACGCUGAGGCGCGAAAGCGUGGGGAGCAAACAGG
rnacentral:rRNA from 1 species